CCUACGGGAGGCAGCAGUGGGGAAUAUUGCACAAUGGGCGAAAGCCUGAUGCAGCGACGCCGCGUGAGGGAUGACGGCCUUCGGGUUGUAAACCUCUUUCAGUAGGGAAGAAGCGAAAGUGACGGUACCUGCAGAAGAAGCGCCGGCUAACUACGUGCCAGCAGCCGCGGUAAUACGUAGGGCGCAAGCGUUAUCCGGAAUUAUUGGGCGUAAAGAGCUCGUAGGCGGUUUGUCGCGUCUGCCGUGAAAGUCCGGGGCUCAACUCCGGAUCUGCGGUGGGUACGGGCAGACUAGAGUGAUGUAGGGGAGACUGGAAUUCCUGGUGUAGCGGUGAAAUGCGCAGAUAUCAGGAGGAGCACCGAUGGCGAAGGCAGGUCUCUGGGCAUUAACUGACGCUGAGGAGCGAAAGCAUGGGGAGCGAACAGGAUUAGAUACCCUGGUAGUCCAUGCCGUAAACGUUGGGCACUAGGUGUGGGGGACAUUCCACGUUUUCCGCGCCGUAGCUAACGCAUUAAGUGCCCCGCCGUGGGGAGGUACGGCCGCGACGACGUAAACCGUACAAUAGAAGUUAGACGGCGUGAGACGUGCCGACGGACGACGACGAGGGAGGUUAGG
rnacentral:rRNA from 1 species